rnacentral:rRNA from 1 species
GUGGAUUAGAUACCCCGGUAGUCCACGCCCUAAACGAUGUCAACUAGAUGUUGGAAGGGUUAAACCUUUUAGUGUCGUAGCUAACGCGUGAAGUUGACCGCCUGGGGAGUACGGCCGCAAGGCUAAAACUCAAAGGAAUUGACGGGGACCCGCACAAGCGGUGGAUGAUGUGGAUUAAUUCGAUGCAACGCGAAAAACCUUACCUACCCUUGACAUGUCAGGAACUUUCCAGAGAUGGAUUGGUGCCCGAAAGGGAGCCUGAACACAGGUGCUGCACGGCCGUCGUCAGCU